rnacentral:rRNA from 1 species
GAUGAACGCUGGCGGCGUGCCUAACACAUGCAAGUCGAGCGGAAAGACGAUAAGCUUGCUCCUCUAACGUUGGCGGCGGGCGGGCGAGUAAGACAUGCAUCACCUACCUCUAAGACUGGGAUAAUAACGGGAGACCAGUGCCGCUACCGCCUCAUAUAUCCAACGGGAUGGUUCAAUAGAUAAUGACGGUUUUGCUGACACAUUGAGCUGGAUCCGGGCCGGAUUAGCUAGUUGGUAGGGUAACGGCUUACCAAGGCAACGAUGCGUAGCCGACCUGAGAGGGUGAUCGGCCACACUGGAACUGAGACACGGUCCAGACUCCUACGGGAGGCAGCAGUAGGGAAUCUUGGGCAAUGGGCGAAAGCCUGACGGAGCCACGCCGCGUGAGUGAUGAAGGUCUUCGGGUCGUAAAACUCUGUUAUUAGGGAAGAACAAAUGUGUAAGUAACUAUGCACGUCUUGACGGUACCUAAAGAAAAAGCAACGGCUAACUACGUG